UUUUUUUUUUUUUUUUUUUUUUUGCGCAGUAGGGUAUCUGGGCUCAUGGACCGGUAAUACCGUACGGCCCAACUAAUCCCUACUGCGGGCUGGGAGCGGCUCGCCCCAAGCGUCACCAGCCUCGGUGAUGCCGGGAUUCGACCCCUGGACGUGGCUCUCCCCCAACUGGGACUACAACCACGGAGCCCAACAUUUAAAAUUUUAUAUGGGCAUUAUUGUGUGUACCAUGUUCCCUCGUUCCGCCCAUACUUUAACCCAAGUAUUCCCAUUUGAAAAAAAGAAGGGCAAAAUACAUUUUAUUCCCCUAUAUUUUAAUGAUUUUAUACAUAACCCCCUAUAAUUUCGAAAGUCAUAUAUGAUCCUAUUAUAGUUUGGAUUAAAAUGUUAAAGCGAUAAAAAUGAUCAUUUGUAAUGAAACCUAUGAAAGUGUUGAAAUUACCCUUUCUUAAAAACUAAAAUAGCUGAAAUAACCAAAAUAUAUAUAUAUAAUGUACAUGAUAUGUUUUACUAUAAAACCCCCUUAUGGCUUAGUAUUUUACCACAUAACUCCUUUAUAGUUUUCAAAAUAUAUAUAAUGCCCCGUAGUUAAUAAAUAAUUUUCAACUUUACAUAAGGGUACUUUUAAUAUUUUAGUUGACUCUGUUAUGGAAUACAAAUUUCUUCAUUUUGACACUUUUAAUCUAAAUCAUAAAGGGGUUAUGUAUAGUUUUUAAAAUUAUAUGGGAGAUUAUAUGAAAAAAGCGCUAAAUCAUAGAAAGGUAAAAUGUAUUUUGCCCAAAAAAGUGAGAACAAGUAUUCGUUCUUGGAAGAAAAUUUUGAAAUGUCCCUACCAUUACUAGUAUUACAUCAAGGGGAUUAGCGGCAGCUAUAUGGUUGUGACUACAUCUUAAUGUCUCUAAGUGAAUACAUUCUACAUUAACAUUAGUUUCUGGACAAAUUAAUAAUGUUCUUGGGCCAUUCUUUCAUCUUUUAUCUCCAAUUGAUGUCAAGUUGGAUGCUUAAUACUUGAGGAAUCAUGGAUGCCAAUAUUAAAAAUGCUUCGAUACCUCCUGAUCCUGCAACAAUUUAACAAUGUAGCAUACAAGAAGAUUGGAAGAAGUAGAUCAGACUUAUGGCAUUGAAAUUGAAACCUUCAAACACUUUCUGAUAUACUCUGAAGUGAAUCAAAAGGUGCACUGGGACUUACAAUAGUAGCCUUUCUAAGUAGCCAUUCUCAACCUUACAACAGUAUUCCCUCAUCAUCCAGAAAAAGGAAGCUGAACUGGAUAGGGAGAGUUUAUUGCAGGAAACCACUCUAUAGAUUGAUAAAAAGUGACAAAAUUUCUGUGUUAAGCAGAAUUCAUUCACAAGCAACUACGAUAACCUGUUUUCCAACGUUGCGACCUCUAAAGAGACCUGCAAGGGCUGCAGGGACACUUUCAAGUCCUUCAGCGAUAUCUUCCACAUAUGUUAUCUUUUUCUCGCGGAUAUGAGGCAACAUAAGAUCCAAAAAUUUUGUGUAGAGGGGAUAGUAUUCAGCGGCAGAACAUCCUCGCAUGUUUACUCGCUUGUGAAUGAGCCACAUCAAGUUCUUUACUCCUUCAGGUUCAUCAAGAUUGUAUUGUGAGAUCAUUCCACAAACAGCAAUUCGACCAAACAUGUUCAUAUUUUGAAGGACAGCAUCUAGCAUCUUUCCACCGACAUUUUCAAAGUAGAUAUCGAUUCCAUCAGGGAAGUACCUGGUUUGAAACAAAAUUGAUGAUCAAUAACUGACACGGUAUUCAGUUUACUCUAAUGAAUGAAGCUAAUACUGGCUAAGAAAUGUUGAAUUCAGUUUACUCUAAUGAAUGAAGCUAAUACUGGCUAAGAAAUGUUGAAUUCAUCUUUCCUUUGCAAGCAGAAACUAUUUAGAUCAGAUCCUUGAGGCUGAAUUUUACAAAUUUUUUGGUAUAGAAACAGAAAAUUUGAGUGACAUAAGAAUUAGUAAUUAAGGAAAGAGGAAAUGUAUAGCAAAUCAAGUUCAAACAUUUAUCUGAAAAUCAGCUAGUCCCUGCUUUUCUUAUUCUUUUCUGCUUUUGUUGAUAGCAGAUCUUCAAAAGCUUGCUAACAAUAUUGGCUUGAGAAUACUUGUAUAGAAAGCCUAAUUAAAGAGUCACAGAUUAAGUUAAAAAAUUUUGAGUCAUGUAACUAUAGUCUAGUGAAUCAUCUUUCUGUAGUUCUGAGGAAAACUUAGACAUCAAGUGAUUAUUCCAAGGAAAAGAUAGAAUGGAAAAAAGUAGAUUACAGACCUUUUUAAAGCAGCAUCCAAGUCAUGUUCUUCCUUGUAAUUGAAAGCAUCAUCAAAACCAAACUUUUUCUUCAAAAGAUCAACCUUGUCAAAUAAUUAAUAGAAGCACAUGAAAGUUAGAAAUGGACCGUGGCUAAAAUCAAGUGAGGUUGAAGUUUUCACAAAUUUGUUUUGCUGGGUGAAAAGUGAAAGAGGGGGAGUAUGGAGUAGGAAAACAAGAUUAAGUUCAAACAUUUAGCAGGUAACACAGCAAAGGGACUGCAAAUGGUGGCAGACCCCGGUAGCAUACCCAAAUCAAAUAAUCGGAAUGGUUACAAAAGCCAAAUCACACUGGCUAGAUUUUCCAAAUUCUCAUAAUCAAACUUUUAGUUGAACUUGAUUUCAGAAGAUCCAGGCUUUGAUCACAAAGUUAAAGGAGAAACUACCAAACUGAGACUACUGACGGCCUGUAGUUAAGAGUAGAAGUAGCAGGCUGCAAAUUCAACUCGGUAUGAGGUUAUAGAAGUUGAUAAUUGUGCCAAACAUUUAACAGAAAUUCUUAAAAACAGUUGAUAUUUCAUAGUAGCUGCAUCCAUGCUAAUCAUUCAGACAUAAUGUUUGCCUGAGAUCUGAGGCUAAAGCUCAUCAAUAUUUCCUGUACAACUUGGAAGGAGCAAAGCAUAGGGGGUGGUCAAUUACCUUUUCUUUACUUCCAGCACUUCCAACUACAUAGCAGCCUGUCAGCUUUGCAAAUUGUCCAACGAGCUGGCCAACUGCACCAGAUGCUGCUGAGACAAAUACUUUCUCUCCUUUCUUGGGAUUACAGACCUCAUAAAAUCCACCAUAGGCAGUAAUACCAGCCAAACCUAAACAAAGUGAAAUGUUGCAGAAAGUAACAGCGGCAAUUAUGUCGAUGAAGUUUAUCUCUCAAUAACAUAGAUGAAUAGGAUGGGGACUGAAACAACUUUAAGACUAGACUAAAUUUCUGAUAUAAAGCAAAAAUUGUGCAGCCAAUAGACUGAAAAUCAUAUCAUGAUUUUUGAGUGUCAUGUAAAGCAGUGUAAGGCUGAUCAUUAGAUUCAUUGGCAUGCAUAGGUGAAAAUUAUCAAACAACUCACAAAUUCAGAUGCAUGAAAUUCCUAGAAAUACUAGAUUGUGGAUUUCUUGCUAUCAGAGUAUACUAUAGUUUAAAAAAUCAGAGCAUUAAAUUUUUAAGCUGCAAAUUCACUUGUUAACAAAUAUAGUAGUUAUCAAUCAAGCAUCGAACUUACCAAGAAUUCCAGUAUAGUAGCUAAGAGGGACAUCUGUGUGUUCGAUCUUGAAAAGCAAAUCAGUUUCUGCAAUGAGACUGUAUUCCUCCCAUCCAGCCAGUCCCCAUACCAAGUCAUCCUUCUUGAACUUUGGAUGGCUUGAAUCCACUACUUUAGCUACCACAAACCCGUAAAUAGGCUGCAGUUACCCCAUUACAAAUAGUCAAGUGUCAAAAUUUCAAAUCUUGAACUCUACAACUACCAACAAUCACCAUAAAUGACAACUUGCACCUGUCAAUACUUUCGUUUAAUUUUUUGGUUACAUAUCUUCCUCUCUAGUAGCAGAGUAAGUUGUUUUUUCAACUAAAUUUUUGGCAUAUAAAAGGAUCUCAUUCUUCAACAAGAUUGUAAGCGAUUUACCGGGGUUCUAGCUUCUGAGUCCAAAAUCAAGAAUCUUUCUCAAUCUCUGUAAAGAAAGCAAGCAGAGAAAAGGGUAUCCAUAAGCUAAAAUCUUUUAAGUUUGAACAUGUUCCGGUUGAUUACUAGCUGGAUCAUGUAACUGACUAACAUCUCAAGUAGACAAAUAUGCCAGCACCUUGCUUUGGACUAACAACAUAUAAAAUCCAAUUCAGAGAAUUAAAACAAGAGAUUAAAGCACAAACAAGAAAAAAAAGGAAUGUUUCUACAAGAAAUCUGAGAAUGUGAUCACAUACAGAGGCAGGCUUGUAAGCGGGAAACGGGGUUCUACUAUUGGGCGCCGGCUUUCGCAUUAGACCUCUCAUGAAAGGAUCACAUGACAAGUAGAGGUUCUUAACCAAUACCCCACUUGAGUUUUCUGGCACUUUCAAGCUGAUGGUAUUUUCUGUGCUGAUGAUCAUAUCUGAUUCUUUCGGGAAUCCAGUAACAUAGUCUUUCAACAGCACUUGCUUGUUCUUCACUACAUCAACCUCUGCUGCCAUUGCUGAAAUAUCAAUCUAUUUGCGGCAGAAUGUGUGUUCUGCGUGCUUGUGGACGCUGUAUAUACUUUAGAGCAGUGAACUCUUUUCAGGUUUGUUUGCUGGGAUUUUGGAGCAAAACUCUUCUGUUUUUAUAGAGGGAAAUGUCUAAGCUUUUGAUGUAGGUAAUGACAUCAGUAGCUGGAAAUAGAAAGUUAAAAAUAUGGAAGAUAAAAGAAACAAAAUGACUUGGAGGAGAGCUGCGUCAUGGCUUAAGUUCACCAUUUUGGGGAAAGCUUCAUCAUAGCUUACGUCACCAAAUUCGUUUUCUAAAAUUCAUAUAUCACUAACCUCCCCCUUUUUAUUUUCCCCACCAUUUUUAAUUCACCUGCUUUCUGUUUCUACAGCACAAUAAUUCUUGUAUCGCCUUUUUUUUUUCUUUUUUGGGCAAGCAAAUUUCCAACAAAUAAAUCAAGGAUAACAAAAUUUUUACAGUUCCCUUUAUAUAUAAACAAAUACAAUAGAUUAUUUCUAGCAGUUAAAGUUGAAAUUUUAAAAAUUAGAACUUUGGGAGGGUUCAAUUCCUCUACCGUCCUGCGUCUUAAUUCUCAUUCCUCUCUUGCUGGGUAUAUGUUCAUUUAAAAGCUACCAAGGUAAAAUUAAGUAUACCUGCUUUGAUGUUUCAGACUACAACCUUAACUUUCAUGUUUCGAAUUACAAGGUUUCGGCCUUUUGGGAGCUGCUUGAAAGCCCCAAUCUGAUUUUAGCCUAUAUGUUGGAGCAAAAUUUUUCUUCCCUUUUUUUUGGUCAAAAGAAAAAGUAACCCUUUAUAGGAGAAUGAAUAAUUUUGAAACCAAGGGACAGUAGAAAUAAAAGACUGCUUCAAGGGGCUUGGAUGGAACCAAACUUGAUUUGGCCUUAAGAGUUAAGAGUCUAAUGCCCUUAAAGAUUGAAUAGUUUUCAAUUUUGGAGUAAAUAUGCCCCCAUCAACCUAGUGGCUUCCCAUAUUAAAGCACAUCCCAUUGUCUUGGAAAUUGAGGUUCCUUAUAAAACAUGUGUUGUCCAGUGGUUUAUGGAAAGAAUUACUCUGUAAGCAGAGUAAUGCUUUUCACUUCAACUUGUAGCAUCACCCACGGAAGGUAGCAUUGUUUGCAUUAAACACCACAAGCAAAAGUAAAUCAUGAAUCAAAAUAAACAGGAAAUAAAGCUCCCGGCUGCAAGUAUUUAGUUAAAUCUAGAACAUUAAAAGCAUCAAUUAUCCUGAGCUGUAAUCCACUGUAAAGUAUCACAAUAGGAUCAUGUCACAAAGAACUUUUCCCAAGCUAAUCUCCUAACAGAGUUCAUGAAUAUCUGCUAUCCCAAAAGCUCCAAGUCAUCUCCUUGAGCCUAGGCCACAAGGGUGCUGGCAGU
rnacentral:lncRNA from 1 species